rnacentral:lncRNA from 1 species
GACCGAUGGCACUGACCGGCCCCAGAGCAAGCGCGCUCCGCUCUGCCUUCUCCGAUUCCAGGCUUUCCCAAGAACACGAAAGGGACGCGGGAUUGCGCUGGAAUCUGGUCCUGGGAAAGAACUCAGCCCCUGGAUAAGGCAGGCACGCAUCCCAUCUGCAGCUUUGCUGCUGGCGCACGGCAGACACUCUGGAGCAAGUCCCUGGUCCAGCCACGGCCCCGCCUCCUCGCCCCGUGUCCUGUCCACGUGCACGGCCACUUCCUCUUCUCCAACCACUGCUCCUGCUUCCUCUCCAGGAUCACCCAGUUCACAAACGUCCCUGCCCCCACCUCCCCCGCCCCCGCCAUCCAGACCUGCCCCCUCCUGCCACUCACUCUGCUCUGGCCCCCUUGUCCUAGCCCGUCAGACUCCCCCUUCCCACCGAGCGGGUUAAGUUCUAACGGCUCCGUGGGACUCCACCUCCUCCUCUCCCUCUCCAGCCCCACCUCUCACUGCAGCAAGAAAUCUGCUGACGCCAGGCCUGCCUGUGUGCACGCCUCCAGGCGGUGUGCUGGCUGCUAACGACGUCCCGUGUCCACCUGCGCGUCCCUCGGCCUCUCCACUCCCAGCCAGCAGAGAGAAGAAGCCCACAUCCCUGCAUAGCUGACGCACCGUCCCGUCGCCCCCACACAGAAACAGCCCGAGCGUCUACACGGGGUGGACAGACCCCCGGCUGUGUAGACCUCACAGCGGGCAUCUUCUGGGGCGGGCGCCGUGCUGCAGGGGGUGAAGCUGCUCGCUGUGACGCCGGCAUCCCGCAUCGGAGCCCCAGUUCCAGUCCUGCCUCGCUGCGCCUGAUCCAGCUCUCUGCUGAGGAGCCUGGGGAGGCAACGGAUGAUGGCCCAAGCGCUUGAGUCCCUGAUACUCCAGUGGGGCACAGAGAUGUGCCUGGCGCGGGGGAGUGGAUCAGCAGAUGGAAUCUCUCUCUCUCUCUCUCUCUCUUCACCCUCUCUCUGUCACUCUACCUUUCAAAUAAAUAAAUAUUAAGAGAACA